GUAUAUACUCUCUGUACCUGAAUACUGAAUACUUGAAUACUGAAUACUUGUUGUCAAGGAAAACUAUACUAAAACCGCUACAAUAAAGAGAUCUGCAGGGAGUGGGCCCAGCCGGAGGCAAGUGAGCUGAGGCUGAGCAGAGACCAGAGCAGAGCAGAGCAUAGCUUUCCCGUAAUAAUUGCUCAACUUCUCCCUCCCACCCCCUAUCACAU
rnacentral:lncRNA from 1 species